rnacentral:sRNA from 1 species
UUAUAAGCGCCCCCUACCGCGAGGACAGGCAUCAAAAUAUUGAUCGCUAGUCAGUUUUUAGUCUAAUUAAGCUUUUCGCUGACCAUGAACACACACGUAUUAGCCGCUUUAGCCGUGGUGCUGGUUUCCGGAAUGAUCAGUUUGUGCGAAGGAAAUGCAGCCUGGAAUUCGUAUUAUUAUGGUAACAUGCGUUCGCCCUCCAGAAGGUCCAUUUCCAAACCAACAACCCGUAGCCCGGUGUAUAGAAGCCAAACCCUUCACACCCCAACCCUACCUCUACCAGAUGAUGACCUUCAGACCGAGCCCGAUCAAAAGAACCUACAAAUCACGGUACAACACCUGGCACAGGACCAACUUCAACUAGAAGCCAACAUUAAGCACAAUCCAUAUAUACAUGCAUGAGUAUUGGUUGAUGGCGUUUCAUUGUUGUUAUUUAUUAUAUUCCUU